UAACGAGCGCAACCCUCGUCGUAUGUUAUAUGUGUCAUACGAGACUGCCGGUAAAAGCCGGAGGAAGGUGAGGAUGAUGUCAAGUCAGCAUGACCUUUAUAUCCAGGGCUACACACACGCUACAAUGGUCUGUACAAUGGGUAGCCAAGCCGCGAGGCGGAGCCAAUCCUGAAAGCAGGCCUCAGUUCAGAUUGCAGUCUGCAACUCGACUGCAUGAAGCCGGAGUUGCUAGUAACCGCAGGUCAGCAAUACUGCGGUGAAUACGUUCCCGGGUCCGUU
rnacentral:rRNA from 1 species